rnacentral:rRNA from 1 species
GUGGAUUAGAUACCCUGGUAGUCCACGCCGUAAACGUUGGGCGCUAGGUGUGGGGAACCUUCCACGUUCUCCGUGCCGUAGCUAACGCAUUAAGCGCCCCGCCUGGGGAGUACGGCCGCAAGGCUAAAACUCAAAGGAAUUGACGGGGGCCCGCACAAGCGGCGGAGCAUGUUGCUUAAUUCGAUGCAACGCGAAGAACCUUACCUAGGCUUGACAUAUACCGAAAACUCAUAGAGAUAUGGGGUCCGCAAGGGCGGUAUACAGGUGGUGCACGGCCGUCGACAACU